GGAUUGGAANUGGGGGCACCCUGAUCCAGCGACGCCGCGUGUGUGAAGAAGGCCUGCGGGUUGUAAAGCACUUUUAGUGGGGAUGAAAAGCUCAGAGCUAAUACCUCUGGGUCUUGACCUAACCCAAAGAAAAAGCACCGGCUAACUCUGUGCCAGCAGCCGCGGUAAUACAGAGGGUGCAAGCGUUAAUCGGAAUUACUGGGCGUAAAGCGUGCGUAGACGGUCUUGUAAGUCGGAUGUGAAAUCCCCGGGCUCAACCUGGGAAUUGCAUUCGAAACUGCAAGGCUUGGGUGCGGAAGAGGGAAGCGGAAUUUCCGGUGUAGCGGUGAAAUGCGUAGAUAUCGGAAGGAACAUCAGUGGCGAAGGCGGCUUCCUGGUCCAGCACCGACGUUCAGGCACGAAAGCGUGGGGAGCAAACAGGAUUAGAUACCCUGGUAGUCCACGCCAUAAACGAUGAGAACUAGACGUUGAGAGGGUAAGCCUCCCAGUGUCGUAGCUAACGCGCUAAGUUCUCCGCCUGGGGAGUACGGCCGCAAGGUUGAAACUCAAAGAAAUUGACGGA
rnacentral:rRNA from 1 species